UUGAACGCUGGCGGCAUGCUUUACACAUGCAAGUCGAGCGGCAGCGCGGGGCAACCUGGCGGCGAGCGGCGAACGGGUGAGUAACAUAUCGGAACGUACCUAUUUGAGGGGGAUAACGCAGCGAAAGUUGUGCUAAUACCGCAUAAGACCUGAGGGUGAAAGUGGGGGACCGCAAGGCCUCACGCGAAUAGAGCGGCCGAUAUCUGAUUAGCUAGUUGGUAGGGUAAAGGCCUACCAAGGCGACGAUCAGUAGCUGGUCUGAGAGGACGACCAGCCACACUGGGACUGAGACACGGCCCAGACUCCUACGGGAGGCAGCAGUGGGGAAUUUUGGACAAUGGGGGCAACCCUGAUCCAGCCAUUCCGCGUGAGUGAAGAAGGCCUUCGGGUUGUAAAGCUCUUUCAGACGGAAAGAAAGCGGGCGCGUGAAUAGCGUGCCUGGAUGACGGUACUGUCAGAAGAAGCACCGGCUAACUACGU
rnacentral:rRNA from 1 species